CGUAGAAAUUGUACAGAUUUUACUGAAUAUCAGGAUCAAUUAAUAGGCCAAAGGGACAGAAAUCGAUUUUUAGACUAUGAAAUAAAAGAUAAAUAUUCUGAGACAAAGGUUGAAGUAAGCACACUUAUUUUUAAAAGAAUGCCUUGAUAUUAAUCCCUUUGUUACUAACAAACCUACAUUUAUUUUUCCUAAUGCAAGGAAUGGUAGGCAACUUUUAACAAACAGUUUUUUAGAUAAAGAAGUUAGCAGCAAGAAUUUCCUCAACAGUGCAGAGGUUUUAUUUUUUUAUUGUGGUAAUUGUGUAGGGUGUAGACUUCAACAAGAAAAAAAAACAGGAAUGCUAAAGUUUUUUUCUUAAAAAAUUACUAAUAAAGAAUAUAAAAUUGAAUACCUUAUUAAAUGCAAUACUUCAGAUGUUUAUUUACUCACUUGCCCUGCGGCUAUCAAUAUGUGCGAAAGACCACCAGAAAAUGAAAAGUCUGUAUUGGGGAUCAUAUUAAUAACAUUAAAAAUUAAUUUGUGAACUAUAAUGUUUCAAAACAUUUUUCUGAAAUAAACGGAGGAAACCCGGAUGGUUUACAGUUUUUAGGUAUAGAAAAUAUUUAAGUUCAUAGGAGGGAAGGUUGCGAGGAUAAUAUAUUGAGCAAAUCAGAAAUGAGAAAGAUGUUUAAUCUUGAAACUUUCACUCCUAAAGGUUUGUAUGUCAACUUUAAGAUCACUUCCAUUUUGUAGUUUUUUUUAAGUUUUUAAUAUUUAUUGAUAUAUUACUUUAUGAAAUAAUCCUCUCUUGAUGAAAUAGCAGAUUAUAAUUUUUUAAUUGUUGUUCAUUUUUCUCUCCUUUCCUCUUCUCCCUCUUAUUUUCUUCCCCUCUUUCCUCUCCUUACUAAAUUGAUGUUUUUUCAAUUUAAAAUGUUUUAAUUUAAAAUGUUCAUUUAAUAAAAAGUAUAAGUUAUAUAUCACUGAGAUGUUGGAAUUUAUGGAUCCUCCUUGAUGAUAAUGUGCUCCACCAAUAUGGUGCUGAUAUGCGCAAGAUGAUAAUAGGACAAAACGUUGUACAAGUAAGGAUGUUAAUACCGGCAUCCGAUCAGAUGGACGAACCCCCAGAGGGAAGUACAUCAUGAUCGGGGCUAGGACAGCUGAUUGAGCCGGGUAGAUUAUCAGGGUUGCCGGAAAUACAUCAUAAUGGAGGAUGUAAUCUUGACCGUUGACCCGGAAAUGCUAAAGCCAGAAGGGACAUAUUCAGAAUAUAGCAAUGACCUCUGGCUCACAGUUGGAGCAAAAAAGCACACCUUUUAUGAAUUUAAAAAGCGGACAUUGAUGCAGGAAAUUUAUUAAGCACUUUGAGAAAGACAUUAUAUGUUGAAACAAGUUAGUCCUAUAGACUGUAAGCUCGUUUUGAGCGGGGUUCCUCUUCAACCUAUCGUUCCUGUAAGUUUUCUUUAUAGUUAAAUCCCCAGCUCUCAUAUUGUAAAGCGCUACGGAAUCUGUGGGCGCUAUAUAAAUGGCAAUAAUAAUAAUAGUGCAGCUGCUAAUUGGAGAUCUUUUUAAUUUAUGUUUAAAUAAAUCUUUUCUGGCUACUUUCCACUACUCUUACUUUGGUUAUAUGGCAAUUUAAGCGUGAGAGGUCAAGUGUACAGUGGAAAAUUCUACCGCUCUGAUCUCAGCAAUAUUUACACCAAAAGGCAUUGAAAGUCUAAGCCUACUAUUAAGUGUCUCAGCAUUAUGUGAGUGGGUUCAUUUUUGUGUUUGUUUAUUUUCAAAUUACAUAUAGAUAUCACUAUGGUCUGCUAUGUUUUUUUCUAGGUCUUUUAAUAAAGUCUGUUGUAAAAUAUUGCAUGUAUGUUUUUUACAUACAUUUAUUAAGGGUCCUGCCACCUAAAGUUUAUUUUGUUUUGAUACACUGAGUUUUACGUGUAGUUGUGUUAUGGACAGAUUAAUUAAAAUAAAAUGGCUAUUUACUAAUGUCUAUUUAUUCUGUGUUCACUAUGUUAAAACUGGCUGCUAGAGUAAAUAUUCCCUUCCCCCCCUACAAUGUGUUCAGUUGCUGUUUCCUAUGUAAAUUCUUCAUCCUGCUAAGCAUCCCCCUUCCCAUCAAGCAAACCUUGUGUAACCAAAAUUCCUGUGUUAACAGCUCCCUUUACUAACUCCUCCCCCACUGCCUUUGUGCCAGUUAACAGCUAUAUGCCACGUGUAACAAAAUGGAGAAUCACUGUUAAAGUAACUGAAAGAAACUACUCACUCCCCCUCCCAUCGUGUAUCCAGGAGCUGGAAUAUAGGCGGGAGAAGUCUGUAAUGAUGACACUACAUCCUGUAGGGGGGGGUUUAGACAAGAGCCCUUAGACUGUUAACCAAUUGUUGAAUGUAUACUGUAUGUUUAAACUGUGACGUAUUUUUGCUUUAAGAAGGAG
rnacentral:lncRNA from 1 species